rnacentral:rRNA from 1 species
UACGUAGGGGGCAAGCGUUGUCCGGAAUCAUUGGGCGUAAAGAGCGUGUAGGCGGCCAGAAAAGUCCGCUGUGAAAUCUCGGGGCUCAACCCCGAGCGGUCGUGAGAAACUGGCAGGCUAGAGUGCGGGAGAGGAGAGUGGAAUUCCUGGUGUAGCGGUGAAAUGCGCAGAUAUCAGGAAGAACACCCGUGGCGAAGGCGGCUCUCUGGAACGCAACUGACGCUGAGACGCGAAAAGCGUGGGGGAGCAAACAGG